CGGCGCCCCUGCCAAGGAAAAGUGCUUACAGGAAAAAACAAAGCAACCGCUCAGUUGAGCAUUCUGAAACAGCUAAUGAAUCUGACCAAGAAAGUGUGGGAUUUCUUGGACAAGAGACAAAGCAACUGAAGAUUUCAGAUGAAUUAUUUGAAGCCCAUGGCCCUGAUGUACAUGAUGAAAAUCAAACAGAUGUCGUACAGUUACAGGAAGAAAAAUGCACAUUACACAUUGCAGAAGCUGACACUCAACAAAGUAAUGAAGAUGGUAAUGAUGAACGCGAGAUCCAU